GUACAAAAGGAAAAAUUGAUAGGGAAACAGGUACUGAAUGCUUUUUUUUUUUUUAAACAACAGUGUGUAUAAAUCUUUUUAAAAAAGAUUAUUAGAAUGCUACCAUGUAUAUAAAUUACUUGUAAACAUACCAAUUUUUCGCGUAGUAAUAUCAGACAAUACUGCAUAUGCAGUGUAAAAAUUUUGUCAACAAACCCACGUUGAGAACAACUGGUGACUGCCCAUCUUCGACAUAGUAAGAUGAAUGUCAAGAAACUGAUUAACAUUAACUGACAAGAGGAAACAAUGAGAGCCCAACAUCAUUCUUCAUUUCUGGUGAAGGUGAGAGUUGCUAAAUUUGGGCGCACAGCAAAAUUCAAGCAAAACAAAGAAAAAGACGGAUGCUGUAAAUGCGGUGUUGGCUUCCCAGUUCAGCACUUUUAAAGAGGGACAAACAUUGCACAUUUGCAACUUCUAAAUGGAAGCAGGGCCGGCCUCUUAUAUAUGCUGGAAUCCUCAUCUUAAUGGCCUUAACACCAUUUUCAAGAAUAUCCUGCUGAAAAAGACAGCUGUCAUUGGUAUAAUGGAUGCAAGACAACACUAGUUAAUUGAAAUUGUUGAUACCACAAAUGGCACUCUCUAGGAUUACACACUUUCCAAA